rnacentral:rRNA from 1 species
UACGUAGGUGGCGAGCGUUGUCCGGAUUUAUUGGGCGUAAAGCGCGCGCAGGUGGUGCGGUAAGUCUGCCGUGAAAUCUCCCGGCUCAACUGGGAGGGGGCGGUGGAGACUGCCGGACUAGAGGGACUCAGAGGCCGGUGGAAUUCCCGGUGUAGUGGUGAAAUGCGUAGAGAUCGGGAGGAACACCAGUGGCGAAGGCGACCGCCUGGGCUCAUACUGACACUGAGGUGCGAAAGCGUGGGGAGCAAACAGG